GACAGAGGUGCCGAGCGUUAGGCGGAAUCACUGGGCUUAAAGCGUGUGUAGGCGGAUCGUUAAGUACCUUGUGAAAUCCCACGGCUCAACCGUGGAACUGCUGGGUAUACUGGCGGUCUUGAGCCACCUAGGGGCGAGCGGAACAAGCGGUGGAGCGGUGAAAUGCGUAGAUAUCGCUUGGAACGCCAACGGUGAAAACAGCUCGCUGGGGGUGUGCUGACGCUGAGACACGAAAGCGUGGGGAGCAAACAGG
rnacentral:rRNA from 1 species